rnacentral:pre_miRNA from 13 species
UAAUCUGUAUGGGGAAGAUCCUCAUCUGGUUAUGACAGAUCCACACCUAACUGCUCACAAUCACUCAUUAUCGCAAGCCCGACUACACCAUAGACACUGAAAAACAGAGGACAACUAUGAACAAUAACUUUUUAAGAUU